GAAAAAACCUGAAAACUUCGCCGGAGAAGCUUACAGUAGUGACAAAGUGUACGCUGAGGCCGACAGAGAAGAGGCAGAAAGCGCGAGCACUGGAAGCUAUGGAGUUUGCGGGCGGUCGAGGUCAUUUCAGACGGUGGAGAUGGGCGGCGUUCCGUUUUCCAGCAGGGCGGAGGAAAGAUUGGCUUGGUUGCGUUCUCAGAUUAUAGGUGGAGAAGCAGAGUUUGAUUCUCCAUUUGGAGAAAGACGACUGUGUUAUGCUGAUCAUACAGCUUCUGGUCGUUCUCUACGUUAUAUUGAAGAUUUCAUCCUCAGAAACGUUC
rnacentral:misc_RNA from 1 species